UAGCUGAUAAGCAUCUUGAGUUUGCUACCACCGUCGGAUGCAAGACCAGCAUGCAUCUCAACGGUCAUAGCAUCAGCCACUUGUCUCAGUUUCGAGAUCGGAGUCGCACAAUCCUCUUCAAAGGCCUUGAGGAUAGCCAAAACACGUCCCCACUUCCCUGAGCUCUGCAUCCGUCGUCGAACAACCAAAACAG